GAUAUCAUCACCCUCAACUUGACAUCAACUUGACAGCUCAAACAGUGUUAGCUAUCAGUUGCAUGUUAGCAUUUAACAGACACAGAGCGACAUUAGCAUUAUUUGGUGUCGUGUUUCUUGCCACAAGGUGACUGUCAAGAGGACAUGAUGUGCCGUGAAGUCUGUUAGCAGAGACUGAACCUCAGAAGACUGAACAGAGGGUCCUUCAGGAGCUGAUGCGGGUAUCUGCGACAUCAGGAGCCCAGACGCUGCCGUCCAUGUUCACCUGACACGAGGAUGUGUUUCAGAUAACACAAAAUGCAGAUAAAUCACACACCAACAUGAACCCUUGCUCAUCACACUUCCUUCUGUUCAACCAAACAAAAAUCUUUAUCAGUCAAAAUCAUUAUUCUCUUUGACAAGCCUCUGCUUGACGCUGAGUCAUAGUGACACCAGGUACACUAAUGAAUAUUAACUUCACAGUCUAAUCAUUUGCCUUUUAGAUUACUACUUGAACCUGUAAUGUGAAAAAUAAUUGAGUGGCUGAAGAAGUAUUCAGGCGUGACACCACAGGUGUAUUUUGCUUUCAUAACAUGUUGUCUUUCAGACCAGUAAAAAGAAAUUGUCCCAAAUACACAGAUGUUUAAGAUCAGAUUUCUGUGAAUUAGAUAAUGCUUUGUUUGAAUAUUUAAACAUAACAUUGAUGUAAACUUGUAAUAAAUAAAGUAAUUGUCUUAAUGUAAGAGAUACACUGGGGAAGUUUCAUGGUGAUAUCUAUUAACAGUUUUACCCUGACUGCCCAUUAGAUCUAAAAUUUACUCUGUUACAAGGGCACCAAUGCAAUCAAAAUUUUACUGAAAUAAAAGUAUGUAAGUAUCAUCAGCAAAA